UCAACAGCCCGUGAUUGCGAUCGUGCUUGUUGACCAAUUGAGUUUUUGCACAAACAAAUACCAAUGGAGGUGAAGCAAAUGCGACGCUUUGAAUAUUUCUAUAAGUAUAACAUGCCAACUAUCUGGAUUUAUCAAAUGUGAUACAUACGAGUAUAUAAAUAUUACUUCAGGGACAGUUAUUACUUGCACGCUACUCGUAUGCUAAUAAAGAAUGACGCAGUUAUAACUAUACUGCGGUAUAGUAUCUUCUAGCACAUUCCUCUAAUUAAAAAUAUCUAACUCACGUGAUAGUUUAAAGAGGUACGACGUCUUUCCUAACAUAGUUAUUGUAAAUUUAAAUGACUUACUAAUAUCUUUCCGGUGGGUAACAAGGAGAACGUGUUCAAUAAUACUGAUCAUUUGAAUAACAAAUAAUAAAACAAAACAACGAAUCAAACCGAUGCCCUGACGCUGCUCAGUGUCGCGUCAGCCGGACGAUACAGGGACGAAGAUUGCAAGCGGGGAACGGACGAAGACGAGACACAUAAUGGAAUUACAUAUCUACCACAAUCCACUUGGUUGGCCGAGAUCACGACGUGUGCAUGUAUGUACGUACGUACGCGUAUCGCGAACGAAACCGGAGCGGCAGCGCCGCAGCGGGCAGGUGGGCCUAAUGGAGUAGCUACAUUAUCAGACAUCACGUGAUCCGCUCGUUGCAUAUCAACAUUUAAAUUUUAAGCAUCCGUCUACAGGUUUCAUCGCUAUGUAAAAUUAUUUUAAAUUUAUACGCAUUACGUCAAAUACCAUGAUUUAUCGUUUUUUCCUUUGUUAAAUGUUUUUACCCUUUUUUCAUCCUAUGUAAUGUAAUGAUUAUUGUAGCUAAAGAAAUACUCCAUUUAGAUCUAUGGCACAGUACCUGUUCCGUGGGACGCUUCAAAAAGAUUCGUGAUAAUGUCCGAACUCAAUGCGAUCAAUAAAUGAAUUUUUAUCUAGAAUAAUAUAUGCGCAGGAACUGUGUAAUGGAACAAAAGACUACAGCACAAUGGCCUUUCAAUUUUAGCAACGUUAUUCGUACAAUCUCAAAUCAAUAACUUGAAAACACUUGUGAACAGAUUGUUUUGUUUCAUUCAAUAUUUUUUUGUAAAAUCUAUUUUAAUGAAAAAGAACACAACUACAACAAAACGAAAUAUAGAAAUGAAAUUAAAAGUAAUGUAUUAAUUGUAAAGUAUGUCAAUUCCUAACAACUACCUGUUGCUGUUGAUAUGAAAUUUGAUACUAAGGAAAAUAUAGUAAUCUAUAGAAUUUUACAAAUGUAUUGUUAAUUUUAAAUUUACUAUUUCAACGAUUAGAUAUUAUUUGUAAGCAUUGCAAGAUAUAUACUGUAUGUACUUAUUUUUUUCUUAGAACGAAAAUUUAUCUAGUGAUAGGUUCUAAAAAGUAGUGUAACUGACCUUGGCGCCUAAGAAGCGCGCUUCCAGUAGCUCCUGUUUGCGAGGAUCCAGCGCCGCCUGGAAGUGCUCCAUCUUGACGCCAGCACCUGAUACAAACCGGUAUAUUUAGUUAUAUGAUCACAGAUUUUCUUAUUUGCACUCGAAAACUUGGAUACACAGACAAUGUUAAUAUAAUAUUUACUAUGUGAUAUCUAUGUCUAAUAAUUACUUAAAUUUCAUUAUGCUUAAGAUUCUUUUAAGUAAUAAAAUUGCAAAUAUCAAGUUAAUACAAAGCAAGUAUCUUUCUAGCGAUCAACCCAAGUCGUUUUGUGUAGCUGUAGUAAAACCCGAACAAAUGGGGAAAAUUGAAUUUCCAUUUUAUAUGUGUUAGUAUUAAGGACUUUUUUGUUAAAAUACUAUUUACAUAAAAUUAUUAAACAUUUUUAUUCGUA